ACCGUGCAUAUGAGCCUCCGAACGCAGUACAAAUGUAGGUGGAACACUGUAAGAGUACCUGGACAACUGCCAGAAUGCAGUAAAAACAAUAAGAAUGCACUUACAAGCCGUACGAUUGUGAUCUGAUUGCAGUUUGGCAGAAUAUAUUCCAGUAGCACUCGAGGCGCAUUCCCACAAUUCACUUCAGG